UACGAAGGGGGCUAGCGUUGUUCGGAAUUACUGGGCGUAAAGCGCACGUAGGCGGAUAUUUAAGUCAGGGGUGAAAUCCCGGGGCUCAACCCCGGAACUGCCUUUGAUACUGGAGAGCUUGAGUCCGGAAGAGGUGAGUGGAACUCCGAGUGUAGAGGUGAAAUUCGUAGAUAUUCGGAAGAACACCAGUGGCGAAGGCGGCUCACUGGUCCGGUACUGACGCUGAGGUGCGAAAGCGUGGGGAGCAAACAGG
rnacentral:rRNA from 1 species